GUUGACAAACGACCAGAAAAUAUCUCCAGGACUAUUAAUGCAUACUGGAAUAAGGUCAUCUUAAGUAAUGAAUAUAAUGUUAUAUUAAUGGUGAAGAGUUGGAUAAAAGUACCUGCCUGAUGCAUUUGCCACUUUCAAAAAGUAAUUUAACUUAAAUGAUAUGCGGUGCAUCACAUAUCACGGUAUCGGGGCAAUUUGUGUCGUCGACGGAAUAUCAAUGCAGAAAAAGUAAAGUACCGGGAAUAUUUCCGUGUUGGAUGUAAAUGUGUUGCCUGUCAUAAUUACGACAUUUCGCUGACGAAAUGUCAUUGUACAUAGGGCUCGCAUCAGCCAAGACUUUCGAAGAAAUAAUCAACUGAAGUCAACGAACUGGCCUGCCAACGGCCUUGGCCUCGAUAUAAUCGAAAAUUGUGGUGGUGUUUAAAAAGAGAACUUCAAAAAAGAGCCGCAAACAUUAAUAACGUUCAUGAAAUAGCACUCUGAACAUCUGGACAAAUAUACCCAAUGAUUACAUUCAGAACUUGCAGAAAUCCAUCGCUAGACGAACUUUAAGAGAAACAAAACAAAAUACUAAGAAGGCGACCUGAACAGAAAAAUAAAACAAACUAUUCUCUUAUAUACCCGUUAUCUCCCGUUGGAAGAAAUCGUGACUCAGACUUCAUCAAAGUAUUUCUUGUGGUUAUAAUGUAAGGAAUGGUUCUAGAGAAGAUGGUACAAUUGUAAAAAGUUAACGCCAGACAGACAUUUGCUAAAGAAUCACACUUGAACCUUUAGGUUGAUCAGGUUAGCCAACUGAACCAUACUUCCCCAUGUUGGCCAUAUAUAAGACACAUGGAGCUGAUCAUUCACAUUUUUAAACAGGCUUUUUAAAAGAAAUGCGCAAUUCACAAAAAGGUAUGAAAAAACCCCGACAACCCAUUUGUACUUCGAGAUAGACUGGGCCUCUUCUAAUGUCAAACGAAUAGAUGAUAUCUUUGUAAACCUAUAAUAUCUGGACUACUCAGGCUUAUCAUCAGCGGCCCUUCUUAGAGGUAGCAGUAACGGUUACGAAAUUAUUGUUUUUAGAUUGGUUUGGCAUCAGUCUGUUUUGGUAAUUUCUUUUGAAAAUCGGUUAAUUGAUUGUAGUAUACAGUUUUACAAUCCUUUUAUAUGCUUUCAUAAGAGGCAACUUUCUCUAUUUAUUGUCAUUAACUUAUUUAACAAUUUAUAUUUUAAGUACAUGUUAUUUCACCUUUUCCAAAGAAGAUGUGUAGAUAAGGCGUUUAAAAUGCCUAUACACGGUCGGACAAGGUACUGAAAAAAUAAAAUAUCAAUAAAUCUGAUGUUGUUAUAAAAAAUCAUUUAAAACAAUACACAUUUAACAUAUCAUUGAUUUUAACCUAUAAAUAUGUUCAAUACUUGGAAUAUGUUGACUCAAAUAGGAGUAUACGUGUCAAAACCUGCAAAUACUGUCAUGUUUUAGAACUUCAGGGAAUUUUCCUUUAUAGAGUGGGUCUGUCUCCAUAUUUUUCUCAUAGUCUUAAUAAGAUCUAAUGGAAAACAAGCCGAUUUUAAUCAACAAAAACGUGGAGAGAUGACUCACUGUGCAUUAAAAAUAUCAUUUUGUAUCCCAUCAACUAAAUGUUUGAAAAAUAAUACAAGUCUGAAAAUUCGUGGCCAAAGUAACACAUAGUAUUUAAACAACCAAUUUUGUUGUGUCUGAAAUGGCUCAGUGGUUAGAUUUCCUGAUAUAAGCUAACCUUAUAUAUCUAGGGUUUUUAUGUUAUGGGUUCGAUACCACCAAAUUUUCAGGCAAUAUUUGUUUUUCUUAUCUUUUGCUAAACAUAUUAAAAACUUAAUAUAGUUAGAAAUUAUAUUUUUGCAUACUUGUAUUAUAAUAUAUUUGAAUAGAAUUAAAUGGGAAAAAAUAAAUUCAAAAUUGUAUUUGACAACUAAACCGAAUGGGCAUUUGCGCCAUCUUAUUCCCCCAUCUUCUUUGGUAUCACCUAUUUGAAUCUGUGAUAGUAAUUCUUCAAUCGGUAUGUGAUCCAAGUAGUGAUAUCAAUAUAUGAUAUCACUUAUUCGAAGAUGUGAUAUCACAUAUAAUUUUGAAUUGUUGAUACCGGGUAACACCUUUCCGACUAGUUGAUAUCACUCAAUUGAAUUUCUUACUACAUAAAGUUAUUUCAUGUUGUUUGAUUAAUUCGAAAAUGUAAUAUUACUUAUUAAAGUAAAUACUUCCUAUUCGCUUAUGUUACACAAUCAAUCCAAAUUGAAUAAAUACUAGCAAUAUUACCAAAUCGAAGAAGUAAUUUCACUUAUUCGAAAAAGGGAUAUCGCCUAUCUGAGGUGAUAUCUCAAAAUCUAACUAGAUUUGUAAUACAUGUGUCACCCUUUUGAACGGCAAAAGAUCUGUUCCAUUAAAAUUAAUGAUAUCCAUCACUUAUUCGAUAAGAUGAAAUCACAAAAUCUUACUGAAUAUGGAUAGGUGAUAUAAACUGUUUGAAUAGAUGAUGCCAAAUCAAAAGAUGAACAGGUAAUAUCGCUUAUUUGAGUCGGUGAUAUCAGUUAACGAAACGGUGAUGCCACUUAUUGAAAUAGGUUAUACAACUUUAUAUCUAUAAAUAUCAAAACGCCUUCUCGUAGCUUUACUUCCACCAGGACUGAUUGCUGUGAGGUGUAAAUGCUGACCAUUGGCUGGCCUCAAGACCGACACUUCAUGGGCGAUCUCUGCAGUUCCAAUAGGGUACUCGUCGUGAAGCACGAGGUCCAAACCGAAAGACCAACAACCUUUUAUAUCACAGGUCGGGCUCUGGAUGUUUUGUCGAAAACCCAAGCCUAACAGCAUCGGGUUAUACUAAAAGGAUUUGUCUACCCUGACGAGUAGCCAAUUUUUGGGGCUAUAAGUUUGAAUACAAACUUUUCGCAAUUUAAUCUUUGUUUAUGGAUUUGAAGAGGUGUAACGCAAAACAAAGUUAGCCCCUGAGAUAGCUGUGUUGCAACCACUAUUGAAAUAAAACCACUAUUGAAAUAAAUUAUUUCAAUAGUGGUUGGAAAUGUAUUUCAUUAGAAAAAUCACCUUGCAACCACUAUUGAAAUAAUUUAUUUCAAUAGUGGUUGGGGGACGUAUUUCAUUAGAAGAAUCACUUUGCAACCGCUAUUGAAAAUCAACUACUAUUGAAGUACUGAUUUCAAUAGAAGUUGAGGAGUAUUUCAUUAUAAGAACUACUUUACAGACAUCAUUAAAGUACGACUACUAUUAAAUUUAUUUUUUCAAUCGCAGAUUGAAAUGAAUUUCGUUAUAAAUAUAACUAUGUAAUCACUAUUGUAACACAUUUGGAAAGAAAGAAGUUGUAUAUUAUAUUUGCAAACUAUUUUGAAAUGCAAGAAAUCUCACGAAUAAUUUCAAAUACAAAAUUAUGUUACAAUUUUCACUGCUGUGCAGAAAUAAAUAACCAAUUCCCGCAAAUAAACAUACAUUAUUUCAAUAGUGGUUAGGUAUGCAUUUCAUUACAACCACUAUUGAAAUACUUUAUUUCAAUGGUGGUUAGGUAUGCAUUUCAUUACAACCACAGUUGGAAUACUUUAUUUCAAAAGUGGUUAAGGAUGCAGUUCAUUACAACCAUCUUUUUGGAUUAGCAAUUUGAACAGAUGGCUUUUCUUCUUAUUCGCAGUACAGGUUUCAACUUAAAAAAAAACCCUUUCUGCCUUCCGUAGAUCUUUAUACAAAUUGCAUUAAGCUGCCACCAUAUCAAUUGUUAUGACCGAAAGAGGAUGUAAUAUUGAGUUCGGCAUUAUCUUUCGCGUUCUUGCACGGUAGUGAAGAGUUAGGCAUUUUAUACAAGAUGUUGGAAAUAGCAAUAUGCAUAUUUUCUUCCUGGUAACGAAGAGGUGCUUGUAGUGUCUCUCUAUUAUUACAUGUUUUGAAUUAACAACUUCCGAUUCUUAAAUGCUACAGCAUGACAAAAAAAAUUAAUGAGGACACUUUAAAAGAAACCAAAUAAAAAGAAAAGGAAAUAUAAAAUUACAUGUAUUAAGAAUUUAUGAAUUAAUUAUGGACAUGUAACAUAUCAUGGAUCGAUAUUACUGGAAGUAUUCAGUGCAUAUAUAUUGCAUGCAUGAAAUAUAGUAUGCCAACAGAAAUCAAACCCAAAGCUUUUCGGCCCCCUUGUAUAUCUAUGCAGAUAUAUAUAAAGUAUACAUAAGAUAUAAAAAGCAACUUAAAAAUGUUCACUGAGAUAUGAACAAAUCCUGUUUUAGCGUCACGAAAAAAACUUUAGUUAUCCAUCGUUUCUAAUCCAUUUCAUUUCUAUAAUUUCGAUCUUACUUUGAUUUUUGCCCAAAAUAACACAACGAAUUAAAAAUUUCAUCACCUAAGAUUUUUUAACAACUUUUGCAAUUUUGUAUGACAACCACUUGUUUGAAAAAUACCCAUAUUUUGAGCGACCUGUGAGUAAAUAAAAGAUAGGAGUUAAUUUAGUUUAUUGCUUUUAAAACACGCUGUCUAAAUUUCUACUGAAAGAGAUUUAUCUUUAAAACAAUUACUUAAAAUUAAACCAAAAUGUAACCUUCACAUAUAUGUUUAGCAGUUUACACAUAUUUAGUGUUCUUCAAUGCAGUUUCAAGAGAAUGAUUUGAAUAUUUUAGGGAAAUAUGUAUAUUGGAUUUGGACGCUGCAUCAAUUUAGAAUAUUAUAACAUAGUUAGGCAUUUUAUUUUUAUUGUCUGUAAAGUUAGGCAAAUCUGAUCAUAUCAUCUGUCUUUCUUCCGUCUAUAUACGGGUUAUAAAAAGGGAACCAAAGAUUACAGGGAGGUUUAGCCUUGCAAAAAAUAAAGAUCGGGCUCGAUUUGAAGGUUCGGCAAAAUUUACCCGUAUAAUUUACUUCUCUGUUUCCGCAUGUACGUUAAAAAACUUAUCUAAAAAAAAAUCCACCAAAAAACCCUUAACAAAAACAGGAAGCAAUCUUCAAAUGUCGAGAUCGGGCUCUGCGUUGCAACUUUAUGAAUAUCACAACUUUAUCAAGAUACUGCGAAGCAGUUAGGCAAAAAGUAUUAUUUAUGUUUUAAGUUAGGCAAUUCUAAACACACACGGAAGUAAAUGUCCAAUACAGCAUUGGACAUUUACUUCCGUGUUGGAAAUCCUCGCUCUUAAUUUCAGGAAGAUAUACAUUACACUCUCUCAAUCACUUUAAGGAUGUAAUUAGUUAUUACAACAUUGAA